rnacentral:misc_RNA from 1 species
GAUGAAGAACGUAGCGAAAUGCGAUAAGUAAUGUGAAUUGCAGAAUUCAGUGAAUCAUCGAAUCUUUGAACGCACCUUGCGCCCUUUAGCCAUUCCGAAGGGCAUGCCUGUUUGAGUAUCAUGAACACCUCAACUCUCAUGGCUCGCCAUGAUGAGCUUGGACUUUGGGGGUCUUGCUGGCCUGUGGUCGGCUCCUCUCAAAUGGAUCAGCUUGCCAGUGUUUGGUGGCAUCACAGGUGUGAUAACUAUCUGCGCUUGUGGUUUUCCAUCAGAUAACCUUCAGUGAUGGAGGUUCGCUGGAGCUCAUAAACGUCUCCCCUAAGCGGGGACAGCCCUUUGAAUGUUUGAUCUCAAAUCAGGUAGGACUACCCGCUGAACUUAAGCAUAUCAAUAAGCGGAGGA